CGUGAACACUUUAGCGAUAUCAGGGGGGUUAGUGCUAUAUUUUCCCGUUAUGUUCUUAAUUUUCGUGAUGUGUGUGCCUCGUUGCGAGGGAUCUCGCCAAUAGUGUGUCCAUUUUAUUCGCCUUCUCGUAAUAAUUCCACUUGGGCUUCCUUCUAAUAAGGUGUUGCAAACUGAGUUCCGUGAAUUCUGCACUGCCUCUAAACUGGCCGGGGUAGGAUCCAAUUUAUGUUUUAAUUCAGCUUUCCUCAAGGAUGUCAAAAGAGUCGACAGUAGUUGGGUUUUGCGCUUUUUCUUCAACGUCGCUUCACGUAUCAAGG